UACGAAGGGGGCUAGCGUUGCUCGGAUUUACUGGGCGUAAAGGGCGCGUAGGCGGAUGUUUAAGUCGGGGGUGAAAGCCCGGGGCUCAACCCCGGAAUUGCCUUCGAUACUGGACAUCUUGAGUACGGGAGAGGUGAGUGGAACUCCGAGUGUAGAGGUGAAAUUCGUAGAUAUUCGGAAGAACACCAGUGGCGAAGGCGACUCACUGGCCCGUUACUGACGCUGAGGCGCGAAAGCGUGGGGAGCAAACAGG
rnacentral:rRNA from 1 species